GGCGAGGCUGUAGCGCGCAAGC
rnacentral:misc_RNA from 1 species